UGCUGUACGUCACCACAAAUCACUGGAGAUAACAUCACCGGAGGGCUGUCAGGGCAGCAGCCACUGAGUGAGAGCCCGGAUGUGACCUUGAUGGAGACCUGUCUGCACGCGAAUCACCUUUUCUUCCAACUGGGUUUAGGAAUGCCAGUCUUUCCCUACAUGAUAAUGGCUUAUAUCAAAGGACGUAGAAAAAGAUUGGGUGUUCAUAAGUCCCGAGUUAAAGCAGAACUGUAUCCUGAUUCUUCCAACUCCAAGUCUCUGGCCACAUCAGACCUGUUCCUGUCAGCGUUGGACAUUCAUAUGUGAGAAGUGACUUCCAAACAUGACUAAGUCCAUGAUGCUGUUACUUCACAACGCAAAAAACAACAACAAACAAUGAAUGGUGCUUGUAAAG